CUUCAAAUCCUUCAAAGCCCAAUCCCCGAGAACCCCCAAAUCUACGACACCUCCAACUUCCUCCCCCACCGCCGCCUUUCCUCCUCCUCCUCCUCUUGGCGGUGCUCCCUUCGCUCCAAGGACGCCGUCAUCUUCCUCGCGCUUCUUGGCCGCGGGGGAUUUGCUGCCCUUCACCUCGCACCAGUACUACUCGUCCUUCUCGCGAGCCUCGCGUUCCUUGCGCUUGGCUUCGAUGAAGCUCUUCACAGAGAGACAGAGAGAGUGAGAGAGAUGAGGCUCGGCUGCGCGAGAGGGUUACUGGGCUAGGUUACACUGGAGGCAGGGAAUGAGAGAGAGAAGAGAGGAAUGAAAAAAAUAAAAGGUGC
rnacentral:lncRNA from 1 species